AACGAACGCUGGCGGCAUGCCUAACACAUGCAAGUCGAACGAAGGCUUCGGCCUUAGUGGCGCACGGGUGCGUAACGCGUGGGAAUCUGCCCUUUGCUUCGGAAUAACAGUUAGAAAUGACUGCUAAUACCGGAUGAUGUCGCAGGACCAAAGAUUUAUCGGCAAAGGAUGGGCCCGCGUCGGAUUAGCUAGUUGGUGGGGUAAAGGCCUACCAAGGCGACGAUCCUUAGCUGGUCUGAGAGGAUGAUCAGCCACACUGGGACUGAGACACGGCCCAGACUCCUACGGGAGGCAGCAGUGGGGAAUCUUGCGCAAUGGGCGAAAGCCUGACGCAGCCAUGCCGCGUGAGUGAUGAAGGUCUUAGGAUUGUAAAGCUCUUUCACCCGGGACGAUAAUGACAGUACCGGGAGAAGAAGCCCCGGCUAACUUCGUG
rnacentral:rRNA from 1 species